AUAGAAUGGAGCGAACUUGGAUUCUGAGAAUGAAGGAGGAGAAAAAGUGGCUCUGGAGGUUUGUGGCUGGAUGAAGAGGGUGAUAAUUUCAAAAUGAGCACACCACUUAGUCUUCUGAGAGCACAAGCGCAACAGGAAAAAGAUCUGCUUAGUGUGUACAUUAUGGACCUAAAAAGGUGUAGAUGAACACAACACAAUACCUUUAUUUUUAUGUGGUGCUGAGAAUCGAACCCGGGUCCCGCUUGUGCUAGGCGAGCACUCUACCGCUGAGCCAUAAUCCCAGCCCCAUGUUCUGAAUUUUCAUUGGUAGCAGGGGAGGUGUAUGGGAGAGGGUCUACUUUAUGGUUU